rnacentral:rRNA from 1 species
UGCGUAGGCGGUUUGUUAAGUCAUUUGUAAAAGAUCUCAGCUCAACUGAGUAAGGCGAAUGAAACUGGCAGACUUGAAUACAGUAGAGGUAAGUGGAAUUCCAUGUGUAGCGGUGGAAUGCGUAGAUAUAUGGAGGAACACCAAUGGCGAAGGCAACUUACUGGGCCGGAAUUGACGCUGAGGCACGAAAGCGUGGGGAGCAAACAGGAUUAGAUACCCUGGUAGUCC